AUUGAACGCUGGCGGCAGGCCUAACACAUGCAAGUCGAGCGGAUGACGGGAGCUUGCUCCUUGAUUCAGCGGCGGACGGGUGAGUAAUGCCUAGGAAUCUGCCUAUUAGUGGGGGACAACGUUUCGAAAGGAACGCUAAUACCGCAUACGUCCUACGGGAGAAAGCAGGGGACCUUCGGGCCUUGCGCUAAUAGAUGAGCCUAGGUCGGAUUAGCUAGUUGGUGAGGUAAUGGCUCACCAAGGCGACGAUCCGUAACUGGUCUGAGAGGAUGAUCAGUCACACUGGAACUGAGACACGGUCCAGACUCCUACGGGAGGCAGCAGUGGGGAAUAUUGGACAAUGGGCGAAAGCCUGAUCCAGCCAUGCCGCGUGUGUGAAGAAGGUCUUCGGAUUGUAAAGCACUUUAAGUUGGGAGGAAGGGUUGUAGAUUAAUACUCUGCAAUUUUGACGUUACCGACAGAAUAAGCACCGGCUAACUCUGUGCCAGCCGCCGCGGUAAAAC
rnacentral:rRNA from 1 species